AACUAGAAAUCAAUUAUUUGUAAAAUAACUUUAAAUGUCGUCAUCGAAAUGAAACUUUUUGCUCAGAGUAAAAACAUUGCGACAAAUGACGAGAACUUGUACCUUUCCUCUGCUGGCAGUACCUUCGCUUGAUGAUGAUUAUAUUGAUAAUAAAGAUACUGCUCCUCUCCUAAACAAGAUAGUAAGCACCUCUCCCAUGGAUAUUGAGUACGUUCUGGAGAAUAUUGAUAAG